rnacentral:miRNA from 1 species
UUUGAGGAGAGGUUGGAGGACAUGUGACUGUCACUCCUCCACCGUGUUGUGGGAGUGACAGUCACAUGUCCUCCAACCUCACUUCAGG